UUCCGGUUGAUCCCGCCGGACCCGACUGCUAUCGGAUUGAUACUAAGCCAUGCGAGUCAUUGUAGCAAUACAAGGCAUACGGCUCAGUAACGCGUAGUCAACCUAACCUAUGGACGGGAAUAACCUCGGGAAACUGAGAAUAAUGCCCGAUAGAACAUUAUGCCUGGAAUGGUUUAUGUUCAAAUGAUUUAUCGCCGUAGGAUGGGACUGCGGCCUAUCAGUUUGUUGGUGAGGUAAUGGCCCACCAAGACUAUUACAGGUACGGGCUCUGAGAGGAGUAGCCCGGAGAUGGGUACUGAGACACGGACCCAGGCCCUAUGGGGCGCAGCAGGCGAGAAAACUUUGCAAUGUGCGAAAGCACGACAAGGUUAAUCCGAGUGGUUUCUGCUAAAGGAACCUUUUG
rnacentral:rRNA from 1 species